CUAGUAACGGCCGCCAGUGUGCUGGAAUUCGCCCUUCAGGCCUAACACAUGCAAGUCGAACGGAGAACUUUCUUCGGAAUGUUCUUAGUGGCGAACGGGUGAGUAACGCGUAGGCAACCUGCCCUCUGGUUGGGGACAACAUUCCGAAAGGGAUGCUAAUACCGAAUGUGAUCCUCUCUCCGCAUGGAGAGAGGAUGAAAGAUGGCCUCUACUUGUAAGCUAUCGCCAGAAGAUGGGCCUGCGUCUGAUUAGCUAGUAGGUGGGGUAACGGCUCACCUAGGCGAUGAUCAGUAGCCGGUCUGAGAGGAUGAACGGCCACAUUGGGACUGAGACACGGCCCAAACUCCUACGGGAGGCAGCAGUGGGGAAUCUUCCGCAAUGGACGAAAGUCUGACGGAGCAACGCCGCGUGAGUGAUGAAGGCCUUCGGGUUGUAAAACUCUGUUGUCAGGGACGAACGUGCCGAUCUACAAUACAUUUCGGCAGUGACGGUACCUGACGAGGAAGCCACGGCUAACUACGUGCCAGCAGCCGCGGUAAUACGUAGGUGGCAAGCGUUGUCCGGAAUUAUUGGGCGUAAAGAGCAUGUAGGCGGGCUUUUAAGUCCGACGUGAAAAUGCGGGGCUUAACCCCGUAUGGCGUUGGAUACUGGAAGUCUUGAGUGCAGGAGAGGAAAGGGGAAUUCCCAGUGUAGCGGUGAAAUGCGUAGAUAUUGGGAGGAACACCAGUGGCGAAGGCGCCUUUCUGGACUGUGUCUGACGCUGAGAUGCGAAAGCCAGGGUAGCAAACGGGAUUAGAUACCCCGGUAGUCCUGGCCGUAAACGAUGGGUACUAGGUGUAGGAGGUAUCGACCCCUUCUGUGCCGGAGUUAACGCAAUAAGUACCCCGCCUGGGGACUACGAUCGCAAGAUUGAAACUCAAAGGAAUUGACGGGGGCCCGCACAAGCGGUGGAGUAUGUGGGUUUAAUUCGACGCAACGCGAAGAACCUUACCAAGGCUUGACAUUGAGUGAAAGGCUUAGAGAUAAGCCCCUCUCUUCG
rnacentral:rRNA from 1 species